AUUGAACGCUGGCGGCAGGCCUAACACAUGCAAGUCGAACGGAGUGGAGGACGGGUGAGUAAUGUAUGGGAAACUGCCUGAUGGAGGGGGAUAAGUACUGGAAACGGUAGCUAAUACCGCAUACUACCAGAUCGGCCUAGGUCGGAUUAGCUAGUUGGUGGGGUAAAGGCCUACCAAGGCGACGAUCCGUAACUGGUCUGAGAGGAUGAUCAGGCACACUGGAACUGAGACACGGUCCAGACUCCUACGGGAGGCAGCAGUGGGGAAUAUUGGACAAUGGGCGAAAGCCUGAUCCAGCCAUGCCGCGUGUGUGAAGAAGGUCUUCGGAUUGUAAAGCACUGUAAGUUGGGAGGCGUUACCAACAGAAUAAGCACCGGCUAACUUCGUGCCAGCAGCCGCGGUAAUAC
rnacentral:rRNA from 1 species